rnacentral:rRNA from 1 species
GAUUAACGCUAGCGGCAGGCCUAAUACAUGCAAGUCGCACGGGAUUUCGGGUAGCAAUAUCUGAAUGAGAGUGGCGCACGGGUGCGUAACACGUAUGCAAUCUACCUUUAACUGGGGAAUAGCUCACCGAAAGGUGAAUUAAUACCGCAUAAAAUCACAGAAGGACAUCCUUCAAUGAUUAAACCCACGGGGGUUAAAGAUGAGCAUGCGUCCGAUUAGCAGUUGGCGGGUAAUAGCCCACCAAGGCAACGAUCGGUAGGGGGUCUGAGAGGAU